UUAACAACUCGUGAUAACGACUUGGCGCGGGCGUUCAUUUGUGCGGCGAACAAUUAAAUCUCGCUGCUGCUGCCGCUGCUGCAGCCUCGCGCGCGCGUUAAUGAAACACGCGCCGGCCUUCGUGAAUGAACUCGACGGAUCUAGACGCGAUAAUAGGACGGUCGAAGAGAAACGAGAAGAUUUUAAUCUUGCGGAGCGGCGUGUUGCUCACACCAUCCUCGCCGCCGCGCUAUUCGUCGACGGAAGAAAUUCAUUAAGGCGAUUCGGUCUACGCUGUCACCCCGGCACGUUCGCUGUUGGCGAAGCGUCAUCGGACGGCGACGAAUUAGCGAGUGUCGGUGGUGCAAAACGCGUGGAACGAGGUGGUAGCUGUCGUCGUCGGCUCCCCGCCGGUAUAUCCACGAUCUCUCGAAAUCUCCCCUGUCAUGAGCGUGCUGAUGUACGUGGUCCCAAACGAACAGCGGGAAUCGCCGUGGGAAGCUGCGAGACGAAACGCCGUAAUGGCACGUACGGAGGUUGAUUUUGUCGGCCGGGACACCGCGAAACUCUUCAACGAUCGGAAUACAAUCGCCUACGAGAUCAAUAACAACGAGACCUAUCUGAACAACGAAACUCUGCACUACAACGUGUCAUUGAACGAAGAUUACAUCUUUGACAGAACCGACGUGAAAGUAAUCUUCAUCACUCUGUACACCAUCGUAUUCGUCUGUUGCUUCUUCGGUAACCUGAUGGUGAUCUUCGUGGUGACGUUUUCCCGCCGGUUGCGCAGCAUCACGAACUUCUUUCUGGCUAAUCUGGCGGUCGCGGACUUCUGCGUGGGUAUAUUCUGCGUCUACCAGACACUCACCAACUAUCUGAUGAACAGCUGGCAACUGGGCGACUUCCUCUGCAAAGUGUAUAUGUUUGUGCACGCGCUCUCCUACACGGCGAGCAUACUUAUCCUAGUGGUAGUGUGCACGGAGCGUUACCUGGCCAUCGUUCAUCCCAUCAAGUGUCGGUCCAUGUUGACUAGAAGUCGCCUCCGGAUGGUGAUAGGCGUGGUGUGGAUCUUGGCGGCCGUUUACGCCUCGCCGAGAUUCUUCUACGUCGAGACCAUCAGCAAUCGUCUCAACACCGGCGACGUCGACAUCAUCUGCGUGGCCAACAUCAAGAAGCACAACAAGAACGUCCUGGACGUGGUGAAUCUGGUCUUUCUCUACCUCCUGCCGCUCUUCCUCAUGUGCUGCUUGUAUACCAGAAUCGCCGUGGGUCUUUGGAGAAGCGGCGCGACCCUCGGGGGGCCCGGUCUGGUCGCCCGCAGUAGAAACGGCAGGGUCCAUCAUGUGCACACCUCCAGUAAGAACGUGCUGAGAGCGAGACGCGGUGUUAUCAGAAUGCUGAUCGCCGUGGUGAUGAUGUUCGCCGUGUGUAACCUGCCUCAGCAGGUGCGCAUCGUGUGGCGGCACUGGGGCCCGAAUUACGACCGCACGUCGAACUUCAGCUCUCUGCUGACCGUGUCGACCUUCCUGGUCUCAUACAUGAACUCCUGCCUGAACCCGCUGCUGUAUGCCUUCCUGUCGCGCAACUUCCGCAAGGGGAUGCGCGAGCUCCUACACUGCAAGGGCGCCAGAGCGCACGGCAGCGGUCUGGCGAUGGCCUGCGCCGGUGGCGAUCAGACUCGCCACGAGAACGGUGUCAGCACGCAUUUGCCUCACAGCUCGGUGGUGCGGCUGAGCUCCGUUCAGGAUAGCCCGUGCACCACGCAAAUCACCCGGCAGAGCACCUACGGCCGGAACACCUAGUAAACUGUCGUCCUCGGCGCGAGCGGAUCGCGAGGCUCUCAUCCACAGAUCGUUCCAAAACGGGAGCCGGCGGAAGCCUUCUCGAGGAAACGAGCGAGCGGCAUUUUUGCAGAGUCUACUUCGAGGCGGCACGUUCAUCCCGAGAAGCCUGGUCAGGACGCUGUGUCGAGAAAUCAGUUUGUAACCUUUCGAAUCGAAUUGGACGACGAGUUCGCGAGAAACAUUGAUGAUUCUGGGACAGCCUGCGUAUAGACAACUCUGACGCCAAGCAUUAACGAGCUUGUCGUGAACGAGAGGCGGAUAGAGGAGAGGAAUCCGCAAUCGUCGCAUCCAAUUAUUAGCCGGAAAUUAUAUGCCCGAUAAACUACGCCAUUCCAGGUGUGAUCGAAGUAUAAUUACAGAUAAUUUCGAAGCGUGCUUCAGCGACCGGUUCCCUGAAGGAUUGGUGAAUCCUGGGACAUCAAUCAUUCGCGAGAGCUUCCCGCGGUUCAGAGGGGAAGCUGGAAAAAUAAGCCGGGGUGUUUUAUAACGUGGAACGUUCAAUAACUGUAUCAGCCUCGCGCCAUGAUCAUUGAGCAGAGGAGGAACUACGAGGAGGACUCUCGCGCAAGACAGGGGUGGCUGGUGGCUUCCCUUGAGGAAUGUCUGGGAAUCGCGAACGACCGAGGUAAGACGUCGCAAAUACGAUCGAGUCGGUACAAGAAGCACAAGUAAAACAUCUCGUGAUACUCCAUUCGCAUGUAGCGAGUGACGUUCUCCAAAGACUGGAAACCGAUUGCCACGAAACGCUGCCGUAAUGAGCUUCCGCGCGAUAUCCACUUCCCCGUAACUAGAAAUUUAUCCCAUAGUCCUUAUCAGGUUGAUCCCAACCAAUCGUCUGGUUUGCACAAGAUAAUGUAAUCAAACCCUGAUAAGCUCUGAUAAUUGUGCAACGUAGCAAUCAAUAUGCUAUUAACUAGCUUAAACUACUCGUGUUGCCCAAGUUAUCAGAAAAUGUCAAGGGAAAAUCAAGGGUAAUCCAGUUGUCAUAAUAGUUUAUAUCUUACGUAAGGUCUUAAAAACUCUACAUAACUAUACAAAUUUUGAUUCAGACCAGUCAAAGAAUUUGAAAGUUAAUAUAGGAAACAUUCUAUUUUGUAUAUAGAGACAAACGUUCUAUUUUAUAUAUAAAUAAGUAUUAUUAAUAAUUAGGACCUUUUAUUAAUACCGAAUAAAUUAUCAGUCUGUCAAAUGCACAAUCAAAUAUAGAUUAAAAAAAUCAAAUGGUAAUGACAUCUCUCACUUUUAUGCUAUUCUUGAAAUAUAAGUUGUCGUAAAUAUCGUAAUUUAAAAAGUAUCGGAAUUUAGCUGAUUUAUCGAAACGUGCAAUGUCCCAUUUCUUGGUACAUUUGCGGAUACAGCGUGUUUCGCAAUCUACAUCUUGCGUGAGUUCUUUUAACCUUUUUUAUUUAUUGAUUGACCUUAUUAAUAAUCAGGAUCCAAUAACAUCAGCUUGUAUAAACCAGAUAGUUGGUUGGGAUUAAUCUAAUUAGAAUGAAUUUUUAAUCGGAUCCGUUGAACUUGUACUGCGAAUAUUUCUGCUAACGAACACACUUCUGUAUUUUUCUUAUUUUCUACAAAUCCGUGAGAUGGAAUUUCAAUCUCUCUGCUUUGUCCUGCUCAAUUUAUUUUCCUUUCAAAUUUUAUCGUGGUACGACGAAAGAAUAUGUGUGUAUAUGUGUGUACGUGCGAGAUUUAACGAAUCGAAAUAGAUUGCGAGUUUCGCGCGUGUGCAAUGUAGAUUUAUUUAUCUAACAUGCGAUCCGCUCGUGUCAAUAACAAUAAAAACCAAACAAAAGAGAGAAAGAGAGAGACGAUUGUACUGGACGAUCAACAGUUUAAUUAUCGCUCGCGGCGCGACCGCGAAAAGUGUCUUCCGCGAUUUUGUCGUUUAUUAUCCCGGUAUCGUGCGAGUCCCUCGGUAACUCGAACGCAACUUGAUGAACGAGUCGAGUUUCUGGCGGCGCAAUUAUGAGAGGCGAGAUUAAUCGUUGUUCGAUCCGGUUAAAACGGGCUGGUGGCCUCUUCUCUGUUGUCGGCCGGUCGGAUAACGAUAUUAUUAGAAAUCAAGUGAGAGUGUUUCUAUUGUACCCGCGAAACUGGGUGGAAAAGUGGACGUUUCGUAGUCAGAGAGCGGAUAACUCCGUUAUCGAGCCGCGAAGACGAAGAAGCCGGCUCGAUCGGAGUUAUUUUCCAUGUUGAUAAGAGAUAAUUCGGUCCGCUGGGGGUACAGAGUCAAAUGAUUACCCGCCACUCGAUGACGCCUGUUGGUAUCUCGGCUCAGUGACGCACAAAGCAGUGGUGCGCCACUCUUAUUUCAGUUGACGCGCCACAACUCACGAAAACAAUACGCUCGAGAGAACUCGUGAAUCAAGAGAUGUUUGAUUAAUUUGUGCGCGACAGGCAUUUAAUUACGAAACACUCCCCCACCUAGAACUCACUGAUUACUGGCGAUUUCCUAUCGUCUAUUCCGUCCGUUUGCGAUCAGACGGCUCCCGCCGAGUCUUCGACGGUGACGCGCCGGCAAAUUUCGGCCACUCGAAUGCAAGUGGACAACAUCGAGAUAUCAGAGGACCAUUUACUUUUCUUGCAUAUUGAUCCUAUGUUACGGACACGUUUAUCUGUUCACGAUUUUCGCGACAGUCAAAACAUCGUUGUACGAUGUGUUCAUCGUCGUUUUAUUAAUCAAUAUACUAUAGCUAAUAUAUUAGGUUUGUCGCAAUUAGGACAGGAAAACAAUUUUUGAAUCUUAUCUCAUGAAAAGUUUUAAUAAGAAGAAAAUAAAGUAGUUUCUCUUAAUAUUAUGACAUUGACGUUCUUUGGUGACCAAUAAAAAUUCCAAAAUUAUAUAAAGGUCAUAUUUAUUUCAGUUACUGUCAGAUCGUAACAAUUGUUUUUAAGGAAUCAGUCGUGUCUCAUGUUACUAUCUUCUCCUCUAUUUUUGCCAGGAUCAUAUGAGGAUUUAAUUCGAUAAUUAUCAAGUAAACAGUCUAAGAGUGACACGAGCAUCUCACCACAGAUAGCAUCAUGAAAUACGGCUGAUUAUCUUAUUUAUCUGAUUACGAAUGAGAUUAAUAAGUGUUUUUUUAAGGACCUACUAGAAUCAAUGAAAUAUAAAGAAACAAGAGAUAAAAAGUAGUGAAAUGAAAUGAAAAAUAAUGAAGUAACGAGAGGAGUUAUAAAAAACAAUGGCGCAAAAGUUAUCUUAGAGAGAGCUGACUACGUUAGUCCAUUAAUUCAUUUUUAGAAUUUUGCUCUUUAAUUCACGAGAAAGAAAAAAAGAG